UAGGGAAUCUUCCGCAAUGGACGAAAGUCUGACGGAGCAACGCCGCGUGAGUGAUGAAGGUUUUCGGAUCGUAAAACUCUGUUGUCAGGGAAGAACAAGUACCGGAGUAACUGCCGGUACCUUGACGGUACCUGACCAGAAAGCCACGGCUAACUACGUGCCAGCAGCCGCGGUAAUACGUAGGUGGCAAGCGUUGUCCGGAAUUAUUGGGCGUAAAGCGCGCGCAGGCGGUUCUUUAAGUCUGAUGUGAAAGCCCCCGGCUCAACCGGGGAGGGUCAUUGGAAACUGGGGAACUUGAGAGCAGAAGAGAAGAGUGGAAUUCCACGUGUAGCGGUGAAAUGCGUAGAGAUGUGGAGGAACACCAGUGGCGAAGGCGACUCUUUGGUCUGUAACUGACGCUGAGGCGCGAAAGCGUGGGGAGCAAACAGG
rnacentral:rRNA from 1 species